rnacentral:rRNA from 1 species
AUGUUCUCGUCUCAGUCCCUCAGCCACAUCAACAACAUCAGGACUGCGCUAAUCAACGCGCAGAAGGGCAACCAACCGGUCGCCUCCUACUUCGCCUCCCUGCGCGGCCUCGCCGAUGAACUCGCCGCCGCGGGAAAACCAAUCCAGGAUGACGAGUUGAUCUCGUACAUCCUCCAUGGCCUCGACGCCGACUACCAGCCGCUUGUCUCUGCACUAGACGCUCGCGUCACACUCGUCACCCUCGACGAGCUUUUUGCCAUGCUGAGUAACUUUGAUCAGCGCAUGGCGCAGUACAACGGCUCCUUCGGUGGCUUCAAGUCUUCGGCCAACGUCGCGUCUCGCGGUCGUGGUGGUGGCUCUCGCUCGCGUGGAUCUCCCCGCAACAAGGGGCGGUCAGGAGGAAACAGCAACACUGGCGGCUCCUCCAACUCCCGCAACGGCCGCUCCAUCAACUCCAAGCCUCGCCGCGGCGGCGCCUCCAGCCGGUCCCGUCCUGAUGCGCCCCGCUGCCAGAUCUGUGGCAAGCUUGGGCACACAGCCAAGGACUGUUGGUACCGCUAUGAUGAAGACGAGGACUCCUCUCAAGACGAGGACAAAGUUGCUGCGGCUGCGGAUGGCUCCUACGGCAUCGACACCAAUUGGUACGUGAUAGUGGGGCUACCAGCCACAUCACCAACGAGUUCGAGAAGGUCACCAUGA